rnacentral:rRNA from 1 species
UCCAGACUCCUACGGGAGGCAGCAGUGGGGAAUAUUGGGCAAUGGAGGCAACUCUUACCCAGCAAUGCCGCGUGAAUGAAGAAGGUCUUCGGAUUGUAAAGUUCUUUAAUUGGGGACGAAAAAGUGACGGUACCCAAGGAAUAAGCCCCGGCUAACUACGUGCCAGCAGCCGCGGUAAUACGUAGGUGGCAAGCGUUAUCCGGAUUUAUUGGGUGUAAAGGGCGUGUAGGCGGGAAUGCAAGUCAGAUGUGAAAACUCAGGGCUCAACCCUGAGCCUGCAUUUGAAACUGUAUUUCUUGAGUGCUGGAGAGGCAAUCGGAAUUCCGUGUGUAGCGGUGAAAUGCGUAGAUAUCAGGAGGAACACCGGCGGCGAAGGCGGCCUGCUGGACCGUGACCGACGUUGAGGCUCGAGAGCGUGGGGAGCAAACAGGAUUAGAUACCCCUGUAU